GGGACAUCCUGCUGCUGUCUCCACCCCGUCCAGUCUUCGUCCGGCCUUCUUAUCUCCUCCCUCUCUUUGAGGGAUCUUUUACAAUGGAUGAUGCGUGAUAGCUUGGUGCUUUUUAUUAUGAUUUUGAAUGAAGGAGAGAAGUUGAACCAUUGGGAAGAGAAAAGCGGCCGUUAGGCCACCCCCUAGGAAGUGGAUGGAC